GUAGGGAAUAUUGGGCAAUGGAGGCAACUCUGACCCAGCCAUGCCGCGUGCAGGAUGACGGCCCUCUGGGUUGUAAACUGCUUUUAUACGGGAAGAAAAAAUACUACGUGUAGUAUACUGACGGUACCGUAAGAAUAAGGAUCGGCUAACUCCGUGCCAGCAGCCGCGGUAAUACGGAGGAUCCAAGCGUUGUCCGGAUUUAUUGGGUUUAAAGGGUGCGUAGGCGGAUCUUUAAGUCAGUGGUGAAAGCCUGCAGCUUAACUGUAGAAUUGCCAUUGAAACUGAAGAUCUUGAAUGUGGUUAAAGUAGGCGGAAUGUAUCAUGUAGCGGUGAAAUGCUUAGAUAUGAUACAGAACACCGAUAGCGAAGGCAGCUUGCUGAACCAUUAUUGACGCUGAGGCACGAAAGCGUGGGGAGCGAACAGGAUUAGAUACCCGGGUAGUCC
rnacentral:rRNA from 1 species